rnacentral:rRNA from 1 species
UACGGAGGUGGCAAGCGUUGCUCGGAAUCACUGGGCGUAAAGGGCGCGUAGGCGGGGAGGUAAGUCGGGUGUGAAAUCCCUCGGCCCAACCGAGGAACUGCGCCCGAGACUGCUUCUCUUGAGUCCCGGAGAGGAAGAUGGAAUUCCCGGUGUAGCGGUGAAAUGUGUAGAGAUCGGGAGGAACACCGGUGGCGAAGGCGGUCCCUGGACAACACCUGACACUGAGGCACGAAAGCUAGGGGAGCAAACAGG